rnacentral:rRNA from 1 species
AAAUUGAAGAGUUUGAUCAUGGCUCAGAUUGAACGCUGGCGGCAGGCCUAACACAUGCAAGUCGAACGGUAACAGGAAGCAGUUUGCUGCUUUGCUGACGAGUGGCGGACGGGUGAGUAAUGUCUGGGAAACUGCCUGAUGGAGGGGGAUAACUACUGGAAACGGUGGCUAAUACCGCAUAACGUCGCAAGACCAAAGAGGGGGACCUUCGGGCCUCUUGCCAUCAGAUGUGCCCAGAUGGGAUUAGCUUGUUGGUGAGGUAACGGCUCACCAAGGCGACGAUCCCUAGCUGGUCUGAGAGGAUGACCAGCCACACUGGAACUGAGACACGGUCCAGACUCCUACGGGAGGCAGCAGUGGGGAAUAUUGCACAAUGGGCGCAAGCCUGAUGCAGCCAUGCCGCGUGUAUGAAGAAGGCCUUCGGGUUGUAAAGUACUUUCAGCGGGGAGGAAGGUGUUGUGGUUAAUAACC